UGCAGCCGCUUGAUAGAGGAACCAUCGUGAGUGCGGUAUUUCUAGACUUAAAGAGGGCAUUCGAUACAGUAAACCAUGGCCAUCUUAUUUCAAAACUGUCAUCUUAUAAUAUGUCACCCCAAGCAUUAUCAUGGUUUGAGUCAUACUUGCAGGGCAGAGAACAAUGUGUAGUUAUUGAUCAUGUAAAAUCUGCCCCAUGUAAAAUUAAGACCGGAAUUCCUCAGGGAACCAUAUUGGGACCGAUUCUCUUUAGCCUGUAUGUGAACGAGCUGCCUGAAGUGUGUCCUGAAGUUGGCCUUCAGAUGUAUGCCGAUGACACUGUGGUUUAUGUGUCUGGCAAGAGCCCUGUUGUUAUCGGCAAUACACCGACCAAAAGUCUUGAGAAAGUGUCUAAUUGGCUAAAUAAAUCAUGUUUAACACUUAAUCUGAGGAAAACUAAAUCAAUGUGUUUCUCUAUACAAAGAACAAGGAUAAUAAAUGACCUUGACGUUAAAAUGAAUGGUGAACUUAUUGAUCAGGUAGAACAAGAAAAAUAUUUAGGAGUGAUUUUAGAUUCUCAGUUAAAUUUUAAAAGUCAUAUUAAAAAUAUCUCAAGAAAAAUGAAGGUCAGUAUAAACUGUUUCAGAAUGAUCAGGAACAGUCUAACUUUUGAAUGUGCUCAUGUCUUUCUGAACACUAUGAUCAUGUCCCACUUGUCGUACUGCACCACUGUUUGGUCCCAGACUAGCCAAACUACUCUAAAGCCUAUUGAGAGGCUUUAUAAUUGUGCCUUAAAAAUUUUAGAUAAAAAGCCCAUUCGAUUCCAUCACUGUUACAUUUUAAGUAAGCAUAAAAUCUUAAAUUUUGUUAAUUUUGUUAAUUUUAGACACAUAAAGUUGUUUUUUAAAUGUUUGACUGGACUUGCACCUGAGCCACUUUGUAAAUUUGUGAACAGACUGGAUACUUCCAGAUCAACAAGAGCGGCUACAGGUGGAGACUGUAAAGUCCCGUUUUGUAAAACAUCUUUUGCCCAAAAUGUUUUUUCUGUGAAAGGAGCCAAUUUGUGGAACUGCCUUCCUACAAAUAUAAAGACUUUAACUAAACUGUCCACCUUUAAAAAACUAACAAAAAUGCCAUAUGAGAUGUGUAGCUGGGUGUAUGUGAGGUGUGCAUCUGUGUGAGUUCGAGUAAAUGUAUUUAUUUAUAAUACUUAUCUUUAUUGGGGCUAACUGGUUUUUGGACAUUUCUUUGUAUUUGCUGUAAUAUUAUUUUAUUUUUAUUUAUUUAUUCUUUUCUCAUUAUCUUGACUGUUAAAGC
rnacentral:lncRNA from 1 species